rnacentral:rRNA from 1 species
UACGGAGGGUGCGAGCGUUGUCCGGAAUCACUGGGCGUAAAGGGCGCGUAGGCGGCCUGAUAAGUAGGGGUGAAAUCUUGCGGCUUAACCGCAAGGCUGCCUUCUAAACUGUCGGGCUAGAGCACAGUAGAGGCAGGUGGAAUUCCCGGUGUAGCGGUGGAAUGCGUAGAGAUCGGGAAGAACAUCAGUGGCGAAGGCGGCCUGCUGGGCUGUUGCUGACGCUGAGGCGCGACAGCGUGGGGAGCAAACAGG